CAUUUAGACGUGCCACAAGGAAAUCGUCCCUCCCCUCCACGCACCUGGGCGAAAGUCUGGAGAGGGGCGGUGCUCAGCUACCACCCGUCCCAU
rnacentral:rRNA from 1 species